GCCAUUUCUUGGGCCGCUCCCGCAGCAUAUGGAGGUUCCCAGGCUAGGGGUCAAAUCGGAGCUGUAGCCACUGGCCUACGCCAGAGCCACAGCAACGCGGGAUCCGACCCGCGUCUACACCACAGCUCACGGCAACGCCGGAUCGUCAACCCACUGAGCAAGGGCAGGGACCGAACCCACAACCUCAUGGUUCCUAGUCGGAUUCGUUAACCACUGUGCCAUGACGGGAGCUCCUAUUCUUAAUUCUUAUAUGCUUUUUUUUUUGGUCUUUUUAGGGCUGCACCCGGGGCAUAUGGAAGUUCCCAGGCUUAGGGGUCUAAUUGGAGCUGCAAAUUCUAAAAAUUCUGACUUACUACCAUGUUAAGUAAAUCAGAUUUGUUAAUUCAGUAUCAACUUAAAUGUUUAUUGGAUAUCUACUAUGUGUCAGGAAAGUAUUCAAUUUAAUUUUAAUGUCCUUACUAAAAUUGUGUUACUUGAACUACAUUAAAUGUCACAAAUUAUAAAUUUACACAACCCAUACAUGAAUAAAUAAAAAUUAUGAAAAUUUAAACAGCACAAUUUCAUUUAAAAAUUGUCGUACUAAGACAGGAAGUGAAACAAGAUGAAAAGUAAGCUUAGCCAAAAAAAAAAAAAAAAGUAAUUUCUAAUAACUUUAGACCUCUCCAUCAUGAGUAAUUAUGUGGGCAGCCCUAGAUUGAAGAUGAGGUCAUAAGACGAUUUCAUCAUUCUCAUGCUUUCUUUUGCAGGUCUCUGGAUAAAUUCUAUCAAGCAGUUACCUAUUUAAAGCUAAGUGUUGAUACUGUGCUAUGUGUUGUAUUUAGAAUCCUGAUGUCAAAAUCCUACACUAAUGCAAUGAUAUAUUUCAGGCUUUUUCCUUGUUUAAAAAAGAGGGUGAUCAGUAUUACGGGCAGUAGCAGUUAAUUUUAGAAAACAUUUUGAAAAUAAAAAUCUUUGAGUAGCAAAUAUCAGGUAUAUGACCAAGGAACACAUUUUUAAAUUAUAGAACUCCCAACUGUUUUAUUAACAGGUAGGUCAUGCCUAGUUUGGGAGGCAUUAACUAUGAAGAGCAUUAAGAGGCCACCAGGUGAAAUUGAUCAGAAAGCCAGCAGAGUACUGAGUUAAUUUGGGAACUUCAAGCUGGAAUUCAGAAGCCAGAUGAUUUCCCAAUGCAGGACAACACAUCUGAAUGUCUUGGAUUUAGGCAGGUAGGAUUCAGAGGCUGCGUACUAUGAGUUCAGGCAGACAGGUAAACUUCAGAGUCUGGGAGAUUGGCAAGAAAAGAACACAAAUGCAGUGCUAUAAAAAAAGGUCAUGCCCUAAUGUUCACAGUGGGAAAGAUGCAAGUGAAAUUCUUUCUUGAUGAAGUAAAAACAAAGGCAAUCUGGUUGGAUUGUUACAUACAACCUAAUAUGAAUUCAUCAGCCUAAGCAAGGUUAGCUUGGAUUUUAAAGCUGUUUCAAGCAGUCAACUGUCGGGUCAGUCAGAUGAAUGGUUAAGAGGGAAAAACAGCCAUUAAAUAAUUUUAAUGCUUUUAAAAGCACUUUAUACUUUAAAAAACCCUGAAUCUUGAGAUUGUAGCAAAGCUAACUGGAUUUACUGACUUCCAUAGUGCUUUCUUCUAACACCUCAGAAAGAACAUCUGGGAAACCAUUUCAAUCUGCUAGAGACAGUUUUCUAAGACUUAAUAUCAGUUACAUCGUCAAGUUUCUAUUGUCCGUGUUACCUUGGAGAUAAAAUGUACUCUCUGAAAUUGUUUAUUCCUUAACUAAUACACCAUUUUAGUUGAGAUAAAAAGCCUUUACAAAGACUUAAUUCACAUAUAAAACGUGCCAUUACCUGGCAAGAACUAUUUCAUGUUUUUCAUUUCCCUUUCCAUCUGAUCCUUCAAUGAAAAUGUGAUAUUGGUAAUCUGGAAAUAGAUUUGACUUAAUUGAGACUAGGAGAAUUCCACUGAAAAGUAAGGUCUAACUCUGGCUAUCUAAAAAGUAAGUUGUUUUGAGUAGUCAUACUAAUAUUGGUAUCAAUGUAUUCCAUAGUAAGGAAGGGAACUAACAUAAUACUGAGUGCUAUGUGAAGUCACUGGCUCUAUUUACUACAUUAGUCACCAAAUAAGUUAAGAUACCGCCUGGGCUCAAGCCUUUUAGGCUUACAGGCUAAUCUUAGAGAAAUAAGGAAGAAAAUAAUCACAAUUAUGAGGCCACAUAAGCAAUAAUGAAACGACUACAGGGUUGAUAAAACAGAAACGGGAGCUAUCAAUUUUCUGUGUAUGUGAAAUGGCGGGGGGACGAGGUUGCCUCUCUGAGGUAAUACCCAAGAGUAUGUCUGAAGGCUGUGUAAGAGCUUGCUAUAUACUGCCUGGAAUUGCUCUGUAAGACAGAAAGAAGUUAAUGAUUAUUAAGCUUUGCCGGAAGUCCAAUUCUUUAAAUUGACAUGAAAUACUAAGAAAAUGGUAUAUCUGAUAGCUUAGGGAUAGGUAAUUUGCAAACUAAGUUUACAAUUUAAAUGUAUAGUUUGUUUGUGGUCUUUUAGUUACAAAAGGUCAAUUUUCCUUUAGAUUUUGAUUAGCUUCCAGAGACAUGUAAAGUGAGAUGACAAUGCUGUUUGAUGCUGAUACCUCAAAAACAGUACAACCAAGUGUGACCUAUAGAUUGUGUGGCUUUAUUCUGGACAGUUUUCUCAGGGGAGGACACUAUUAAAGGCCGACUGAAUUCAUAUAGCUACAAGUAUAUCCAUGGACCACACAUACACACUGAGGGACAAGAACACAUAAACAUCCCACAUCCUGUGUUACCGAAACACUUGUCAGAGCAUGCCUCCUUACAAUGGGACAGUAGUACCAUCAUGGAAUAUGUGAGAAACUAAUUUGUGCUUAGUAUGGUACUUUCACAUACAAACCUAACUUUAAGACUUUCUUUGGAAGGUAUCACUAUCAUUUUGAACAUUUUAGGGCUUAAUAUUUAAUUUUGUCUCCUCUACCUCUUGUUAACUAUAGGACAGAGGUUGUAGAUGUAAUUACUGAGUGUGAGUUCUGCAAUCAAAUUACCAGAGCUUGAGUCCUGACUCCUCCCCUUACUAGUUAUGCGGCAUUAGGUAUGCUAUUUUAACCCUGUGACUCUGUUUCCUUACCUUAUAGUAUGGGAAUAAUGAUACAUCUCCCUCAUAAAGUGGUUACAAGAAUUGAAUGGAUUUUAUUUUUGGCCACAGGGGUCUAACGUGUGCCACAGCAGUGACAACACUGGGUCCUUAACUGCUAGGCCACUAGGAAACUCCUUGAAUGUAUUUUCAAAUAUAAAAGUUUCUGGCAAAGAAUAAACAAUGUGUUAGCAGUUACUAUUUCUGUCACUAAUAGCAGCACCUAAAGCUUGGGUGGUUUCCAUAUGCACUUCAUCCAUAACCCAAGGGGUAGGUAUUUAAAUGUUUUGAUUUGAUUUGGGUCACUUUCACUAAAAUAACCCCUCAAAGUAAACAAUAAAAAUUUACUGGCCUAUUUCCCAGAGGGCCAAAUAAACAUUAACAAAUAUGCUAAGGCUGAUGUUCCUUAUUGUAUUUACAAUUCUCUCCUAUCAAGAAUCUCACAUAUAAAUUUGGAAGAGAACCAGAGUAGUCUGAAAAGUACUUGAACUGUAAAAACUAAGAAACUUGAAUUAAAAGACGUCAUAAAAUUAUUUUCUGAGCCAAGCCAUUACAUUGUUUAAUAAGGUCUCAACAGUGAUUCAGGCUCAAAAGACUGGCAAAGACAUCGUAGAAUAAUUAUUUCCUGCACAUUUGAUGAGAAUCUACUAGACAACUGGACCUAGAGCCAAUUUCAGAAUGAGACUGAUCUUCCUACGAACAUUCCAUUUAAUAACUGAGCAACUACCAGGUGUCUGGUAAGGUGACAAAAACUCCAAUUGAAGCUGAAUUCCCCUGUAUUUAAUUACAGAAAAAGAAUUCCAGAAGUGGAAAUUUUAAGCCUAAGCUAUGGCCCUACAGCCUAAUGAAAAUCCAAGUAUUUCAGAAUAUGAACAUCAAAGAAUGCUCCACUGACACUAUGACUCAAUUCUAUUUAAGUCAAAACUGUAUGAAUAAGAAUUCCUCUUGGAAGUUCCCUCUUGGGGAAGCAGGUUAAAGAUCUGGAGUUGCCUCAGCUGUGGUGCAGGCUGUAACUGCUGCGCAGGUUCAUUCUUUGGCCCAGGAACUUCCACCUAAUGAUCCAGCUGUAUAACAGAUUCAUCCAAUUGCCUUGAUAAAGUGAUCCUUUUUGAAAACACAUGCAACAAAUAAAAAUUUUUAGUAUUUAAAAAUUAUGUUCAAACUUACAUCUUCAUUAUCUCACAGUUUUCAGACAAGUGACAUACUUCUUGAAACUCUGAGCCUGAUUUUUUUUGUCUUUUUAGGGCCAGUCCUGUGGCAUAUGUAAGUUCCCAGGAUAGGGGGAGAAUCAGAGUUGUAGCCGCUGGCCUACUCCGUAGCCACAGCAACAUGGGACGUGAGCCACGUCUGUGACCUACACCACAGCUCACAGCAGAGCCCGACCCUUAACACACUGAGUGAGGUCAGGGAUCAAACCUGCAUCCUCAUGGAUACUAGUCAGGUUUGUUUCCACUGAGCCUAAAUGGGAACUCCGAACUAGAACUUUUUAAAGGAGUACCUGCUUUAUUUAGAUCCUGUCAGUUCUAUUAAAAUAAGUUUUUAGUAAAAACUGUCCAAAAACAACAAAUC
ensembl:lncRNA